UUGAUAGCUGCUUGUGGCAGCAGCUGGUCUAGAGCCCACAUAGCAAGCAGCUUCAAGAGCUGAUUACUUAGCUCAAGGCGGGUGGUGGGAUGGACUGCUGCCUCACUCUCAUGCCUCUGUGGGUCUAUAAUUUAUAGCAGGCUUGCAUUCCUCAGAUAAAGUUUCUUUUCUUUCUCAAUUUCUAUACAGAGAUCCCUCAAGUUGCAGGAAAUAUGGACAGGUACUCAGGCCUUUUGAUUUCCAGCACACAAGUUUCUAUACCCUUGCCAACAGUUAGCUGCCUGAUCUUUUCUAAAAGGGCUCAAUGAAUGCAAACGUCAAACUUCUCUUUGCAGCUAGAUCCAAAUGAUCACCCUGCAUUAGUCUGUUCUCACACUGCUCUAAAGAAAUACCUGGCUAAUUUAUUAAAAAAAGAGUUUUUUGUUUGUUUGUUUUUAGGCUCACUGCAAACUCCGCCUCCCGGGUUCAAGUGAUUCUCCUGCCUCAGCUUCUCCAGUAGCUGGAACUACAGACACCAAGAAACUGGACACCCUCCACCGGUAACAUAUUUUGGCGAGCCAGCCAGGAGAAGGUGUGGUCCCUGAUCCCUACGGUGGUGGUGGUAACUCACACUUGUUUCAGUUCUGAAACUGCUCUUCCUGCUGCUGGAGCCCCCACCCCUGCUCCAUUUUGAAGUAGCUGAUCCGGAUCAGCUUAGAUUGUGCCAAGUUUCAAGAAAAAGAUGAAAUAUGAGUUGCAUUUUGACAAAUGAAGAGGAUGUGAAGGGCAGAAGGAGCAGAAACUACCAGCAGAGAUGCUAAGAUGAAAGGCACAGAGUGCAAGUUGGAUUGAAAAAACAAGACCUAUCCGAGUGCUGACUUCAAAAGACUCAUCUCAUACAUAAUGACACCCAUAGGCUCAAAGUAAAGGAUUGGAUAAAUAUUUAUUAUGCAAAUGGAAAACAAAACAAAAAAAAGAGCCAGAGUCACUAUUCUUAUAUCAGAUAAAAUAGACUUUAAACCAACAAAAGUAGAAAAGGACAAAGAAGGGCAUUAAAUAAUGAUAAAGAUUUCAGUUAAACAAGAAGACUUAACUAUCCUAAAUAUAUAUGCACCCAACAUUGGAGCACCCAGAUUCAUAAAACAAGUACUUCUAGACCUAUGAAAAGACCUAGACAGCCAUAAAAUAGUAGCGGAGGUUUUCGACACCCCAUUAGAAAGGUCAUUGAGGCAGAAAACUAACAAAGAAAUUCUGGACUUAAAUUGGACACAACCAGCUGGACCUAAUUGACACCUACAGAACACUCCACUGAUCAACCACUCUUCUCAUCUGCACACAGAACAUACAUCAAGAUUGAUCACUAGCUUAGCCAUAAAGCAAGUCUCAAUAAAUUCAAAAAAUCAAGAUCAUACCAACCACAAUCUUGGGCCACGGUGGAAUAAAAUAGAAAUCAAUACCAAGAAGAUCUCUGAAAACCACACAAUUACAUGGAAAUUAAAAAACUUACUCCUGAAUGACUUUUGAGCAAACAAUAAAGUUAAGGCAGAAAUUAAAAAAUUAUUUUAAA